UCUUAAUGAAAGUUUUUAAUCUCCUCUCGUUACCACAAAGUCUAAAAAGAUUUUCCGAAUUGAAUAAUAAUUUGAUCCGUUAAUCUUUUGAAGGCAGCAAUUUUAUUUUGCCCUCUUUUAGUCUCUGAGGCUCACAAAUGAAUAGAGCUUCAUUAUAGCAGUCUGCGUUUAAUAACCAUUAUCCAUUAUCUUGUAAUUAAGACUCCCUGUAACGAAUCAUGAGGACAAUGCAGAAAUACAUAGUACAUUUCUUUAAUGAACUGGAAAAUGUUCCCCUUGUUCUAUUUAGUAAUGACUUGCUGAAUAGUCAUUAAAUCCACUGGAGAAUAGGGACGAGACUGUCUUCAGUUUGUGGUUAAUCUAUUAGAAUUAAAAUUUCAUUUUCUAUUUUUAUCAACAACUGAUUAAAAGUCAUUCUGUUUGGCCAAAUUGAUUAGAAGACCAUAUACAGGGGCAGC